UACGUAGGGCGCGAGCGUUGUCCGGAAUUAUUGGGCGUAAAGAGCUCGUAGGCGGCUUGUUGCGUCUGCUGUGAAAUCCCGGGGCUUAACCCCGGGCGUGCAGUGGAUACGGGCAGGCUGGAGGCAGGCAGGGGAGAAUGGAAUUCCCGGUGUAGCGGUGAAAUGCGCAGAUAUCGGGAGGAACACCGGUGGCGAAGGCGGUUCUCUGGGCCUUACCUGACACUGAGGAGCGAAAGCGUGGGGAGCGAACAGG
rnacentral:rRNA from 1 species